AUUCCAGCUCCAAUAGCGUAUAUUAAAGUUGUUGCAGUUAAAAAGCUCGUAGUUGGAUCUCGGGCGCAGGCUAGCGGUCCACCUCGCGGUGGUUACUGCUCGUCCUGCCCUACCAUCGGGUUUUCCCUUGGUGCUCUUCGCUGAGUGUCUCGGGUGGCCAGAACGUUUACUUUGAAAAAAUUAGAGUGUUCAAAGCAGGCGCAUCGCCUGAAUAAUGGUGCAUGGAAUAAUGGAACAGGACCUCGGUUCUAUUUUGUUGGUUUUCGGAAGUCGAGGUAAUGAUUAAGAGGGACAGACGGGGGCAUUCGUAUUACGGUGUUAGAGGUGAAAUUCUUGGAUCGCCGUAAGACGAACUACUGCGAAAGCAUUUGCCAAGAAUGUUUUCAUUA
rnacentral:rRNA from 1 species